rnacentral:rRNA from 1 species
CUGAAAUCAUAGAGUUUAUUCAAACUCAUGAUGUCGUAAGGGAAAAUAAUGAUAAUACCUUACUAAUAGUGUCGUCCAAAUCUGGUGCCAGAAGACUCGGUAAGACCAGAGACGCAAACGUUAAUCAUCUUAAACAGGCGUAAAGGGUUUGUAGGCAGCCUUCCAGAAGGACUAUGAAUAAUCAAAUAAAGUCGUCUAAUUGGAAGCUAGAAUCAAAUGGAGGUUAUAGUGUAUAACGCUUAGAGGAGGGCUGAUAUCCUUAGAUCCUAAGCAGAAUACUCAGGGCGAAGGCCACUUUCCACUAAUGAUUGACGCUGAGAAACGAAGGUUAGGCUAGGAAAUAGGAUUUUAAAAUGCGACCUGAAAGUUUAUUUAAGUAUUGUGGAGUUACUCCAUCAAAAUAUUCCAUCUUAUUUGAGCUCCUCUUAAUAGACUAGAUUGGUAACAAUUUAGUUUAAAGCUUAAGAAAAGAGCUGUUUCCUAUGGUUAGAGAAAUCGAAUCUAUGUAGUAAAGGUUUAAUAAUAGGUAUAAUCACGAGUCCUUGGUGAGUAUAAGAUGGACAAAUCGUUAUUAAAUCAAAGUAGGAACCUAAGGGAAACUAAACGUACUUAAAUAGGAACAGGAAAACUCCUUUAAUCUGCUUAAAAAGCAAGAAAAUAGGCAACUAUUUUUGAUAGAUUAGAGGAAGCAUGAUAGCGUUAAAAGCGAAAGCCAUUAUGUAAUGUAGUGGAUAGGCUCUUAGUAUCUAAAUAUACUAAGAAUAUAGCUGAUCUGAAAGAUGCAGACUACCCAUAGGUGAUUCUAAGUAUAAUUAUAAAAAAUAUUUAAGGGGCAUGGAAAAUCAAUUCAGUUAAUUUUAUAGGUAAUUGGUAGUAUAUUCUUCUCUAAAUUAAGCUAGAUGAGCUGUAACUCAAAAGAAAUAAUUAAUUUAUUUAAUUGAAACAGCUUUUUAUAAAUAUCCCUUAUUGACUGAAUAUCAAAGAGAUAGAUAUGCAAGAUUAAAAUACGUUAUCCUAAAUAAUUAGAGUAGAAAAUUUAGAAGAGUAUAAUACUUUUUUACAUACUACUUAUAUGAGUACUGAUAUCUCUGAUUAUUAUUUUAAUGGAAGUACUUUUUUAAUUGAAUGUUAGGGCUGAAGGUUGUUUUUAUAAACAUAGUAAAGGACAUUUAGUUUUCUAUAUAGAACAUAGAGAUAAACUAGUUCUUGAAUUAAUCAAAUUGCAUUUAGGAUGAAGUCCUAAUAUUGUAGAUAGAGAUACUAUAAAUAAUACUAGACAACGUACUUAUUCUUUAACUAUUACAUCUAAAAAAGAUAUACAAUCUUUGAGAUAUUUAUGUGAAAAUCCUCAAUUAAAUAAAUUAGAAGGAAAUAAACUUGAACAAUAUAAAAAUUGGCUAGCAUAAAUUACAAAUUAAUUCUAUUUUUAUUAUAUAUUCUUUCUCCUUAGUAUAUUCUCUAUAUACUUUAGAAUGGCUUGAGCCGUAUGCGAUGAAAGUCGCACGUACGGUUCUUUGUGGAGGAAAAGCUGAGAAGCCCUUACUCCACGGUUAGAUACCCCGGUACCCCUUUCUGUAAACGAUGAAUGGUAGUCAUUAGUUUAAAAAAACUAGAGGCGAAGUUAACGCGAUAACCAUUCCGCCUUGUGAGUACUACUGCAAAGUAGAAAACAAAAAAAUUAGUCG